rnacentral:rRNA from 1 species
UACGGAGGGUGCAAGCGUUAUCCGGAUUCACUGGGUUUAAAGGGUGCGUAGGCGGGCAGGUAAGUCAGUGGUGAAAUCUUUGGGCUUAACCCGAAAACUGCCAUUGAUACUAUCUUUCUUGAAUAUUGUGGAGGUUUGCGGAAUGGGUCAUGUAGCGGUGAAAUGCAUAGAUAUGACCCGGAACACCUAUUGCGAAGGCAGCAGGCUAAACAAAUAUUGACGCUGAGGCUCGAAAGCGUGGGGAUCAAACAGG